rnacentral:rRNA from 1 species
GACGAACGCUGGCGGCGUGCUUAAAACAUGCAAGUCGAACGGAAGGGCCCUGCUUUUGUGGGUUGCUCGAGUGGGGAACGGGGGAGAAAAACGCGAGUAACCUGCCCUUGACUUUGGGAUAACUUUAGGAAACUGGGGCUAAUACCGGAUAGAAGCUCUUGAUCCAUGGGGGGGGUUGGAAAGUUUCGGCGGUUGGGGAUGGACUCGCGGCUUAUCGGCUUGUUGGUGGGGUAGUGGCUUACCAAGGCUUCGACGGGUAGCCGGCCUGAGAGGGUGACCGGCCACAUUGGUACUGAGGGACGGCCCAGACUCCUACGGGAGGCAACAGUCGGGAAUAUGGCACAAUGGGCGGAAGCGUGAUGCAGCAAUGCCGCGUGCGGGAUGACGUGCUUCGGGUUGUAAACCGCUUUCGCCUGUGACGAAGCGUUAGUGACGGUAAUGGGUAAGGAAGCACCGGCUAACUACGUG